UACGUAGGGUGCAAGCGUUAAUCGGAAUUACUGGGCGUAAAGCGUGCGCAGGCGGUUUUGCAAGCCAGAUGUGAAAUCCCCGGGCUCAACCUGGGAACUGCAUUUGUGACUGCAAGGCUAGAAUCUGGCAGAGGGGGGUAGAAUUCCACGUGUAGCAGUGAAAUGCGUAGAUAUGUGGAGGAAUACCGAUGGCGAAGGCAGCCCCCUGGGCUAAGAUUGACGCUCAUGCACGAAAGCGUGGGGAGCAAACAGG
rnacentral:rRNA from 1 species